AACGUGUUUUUCAAAUUGCAUGUUAAAUGCUUCAGCAGACGUCUGCACUGAAAUCUGUGGGGCUAAACAUAUUGUUCGUAUCCCAGGUGCCUAGUGAUGUGCUGGCCGGCCCAAUACCCGUGCAUCGGGCAGGUUCGGGCGACCUCGCACCCCCAUUUGCGGGUGGCAGGCUGAGCUCUUCUUCCUGCUCUCCCCGCCUGCCACCAACUUCCGGCUUCCCUUUUUAUAGACGCGCACCUGCUUGCCCCACCCCUUUUGUGACAUCAUCAACAGGGUGGGGAACCCAAAAGUAGGGCACAGGCUGAGGGAAGGCGUGUUAGUCUGGUACUCCCUGGUGUUUCCAAUCUCUAACCACUAGAGGCCUCCCUUUUGCAAGGACCAGGGGGUGGGGUUGGUAGGGUCGUCAGCAAAUUUGGAUGCGCCAAUUCGGGUCAGCCAGUGUCCAAUUCUGGGCGAGCCUUGUUUUGAUGCACUGGGCUCGGAGGCCAGGUGUCCUAUCUGUAACCACUAGAGGGCUCCCUGGAGUUUCCUAUCUGUAUCCACUAGAGGGCUCCCUGGUGUUUCUUAUCUGUAACCACUAGAGGGCUCCCUGGUGUUUCUUAUCUGUAACCACUAGAGGUCUCCCUGGUGUUUCCUAUCUGUAACCACUAGAGGGCUCCCUGGUGUUUCCUAUCUGUAACCACUAGAGGGCUCCCUGGUGUUUCCUAUCUGUAACCACUAGAGGUCUCCCUGGUGUUUCUUAUCUGUAACCACUAGAGGUCUCCCUGGUGUUUCCUAUCUGUAACCACUAGAGGGCUCCCUGGUGUUUCCUAUCUGUAACCACUAGAGGGCUCCCUGGUGUUUCCUAUCUGUAACCACUAGAGGGCUCCCUGGUGUUUCCUAUCUGUAACCACUAGAGGC